rnacentral:miRNA from 1 species
AUCUCGUCAACCUUCGUCAGAUG